UACGGAGGGUGCAAGCGUUGUUCGGAAUCAUUGGGCGUAAAGGGCGCGUAGGCGGACAGUUUAGUCAGAGGUGAAAGCCCAGGGCUCAACCUUGGAAUUGCCUUUGAUACUGGCUGUCUUGAGUUCGGGAGAGGUGAGUGGAAUGCCGAGUGUAGAGGUGAAAUUCGUAGAUAUUCGGCGGAACACCAGUGGCGAAGGCGGCUCACUGGCCCGAUACUGACGCUGAGGCACGAAAGCGUGGGGAGCAAACAGG
rnacentral:rRNA from 1 species